AGCUUGCUCCGCUGACGAGUGGCGAACGGGUGAGUAAUGCAUCGGAACGUGCCGUGUAAUGGGGGAUAACGUAGCGAAAGUUACGCUAAUACCGCAUACGCCCUGAGGGGGAAAGUGGGGGACCGCAAGGCCUCACGUUAUACGAGCGGCCGAUGUCGGAUUAGCUAGUUGGUGGGGUAAAGGCCUACCAAGGCGACGAUCCGUAGCGGGUCUGAGAGGAUGAUCCGCCACACUGGGACUGAGACACGGCCCAGACUCCUACGGGAGGCAGCAGUGGGGAAUUUUGGACAAUGGGGGCAACCCUGAUCCAGCCAUGCCGCGUGAGUGAAGAAGGCCUUCGGGUUGUAAAGCCCUUUCAGGUGGAAAGAAAUCGCAUCUUUUAAUACAGGGUGUGGAUGACGGUACCAUCAGAAGAAGCACCGGCUAACUACGUGCCACAGCCGCGGUAAUACGUAGGGUG
rnacentral:rRNA from 1 species